AGCCAGCGGAGUAUUG
rnacentral:rRNA from 1 species